AGGUCUUGACAUCCUCUGAAAACCCUAGAGAUAGGGCUUCUCCUUCGGGAGCAGAGUGACAGGUGGUGCAUGGUUGUCGUCAGCUCGUGUCGUGAGAUGUUGGGUUAAGUCCCGCAACGAGCGCAACCCUUGAUCUUAGUUGCCAUCAUUAAGUUGGGCACUCUAAGGUGACUGCCGGUGACAAACCGGAGGAAGGUGGGGAUGACGUCAAAUCAUCAUGCCCCUUAUGACCUGGGCUACACACGUGCUACAAUGGACGGUACAAAGAGCUGCAAGACCGCGAGGUGGAGCUAAUCUCAUAAAACCGUUCUCAGUUCGGAUUGUAGGCUGCAACUCGCCUACAUGAAGCUGGAAUCGCUAGUAAUCGCGGAUCAGCAUGCCGCGGUGAAUACGUUCCCGGGCCUU
rnacentral:rRNA from 1 species